AAGUGCGAGAGUGUGAGCUUAAGCGAAACCCAAAAAAUAAACGUCCCAGUUCGGAUUGUAGUCUGCAACCCGACUACAUGAAGCUGGAAUCGCUAGUAAUCGCGGAUCAGAAUGCCGCGGUGAAUACGUUCCCGGGUCUUGUACACACCGCCCGUCACACCAUGGGAGCCGGGAAUGCCCGAAGUCGGUGACCUAACCGAAAGGAGGGAGCUGCCGAAGGCAGGCCUGGUGACUGGGGUGAAGUCGUAACAAGGUAAC
rnacentral:rRNA from 1 species